UACCAGCACCCCGAGUGGUCGGGACGUUUUAUUGGGCCUAAAGCAUCCGUAGCCGGUUCUACAAGUCUUCCGUUAAAUCCAACUGCUUAACAGGUGGGCUGCGGAAGAUACUAUAGAGCUAGGAGGCGGGAGAGGCAAGCGGUACUCGAUGGGUAGGGGUAAAAUCCGUUGAUCCAUUGAAGACCACCAGUGGCGAAGGCGGCUUGCCAGAACGCGCUCGACGGUGAGGGAUGAAAGCUGGGGGAGC
rnacentral:rRNA from 1 species